rnacentral:lncRNA from 1 species
AAAGGGUUCCGGUGCAGCAGCGAGUGGAGGCGGCUCCUUCUCGGAGGGCAGGUCUUCUUCUCCAACAAGGGGUUCUAGCGGCUAGGGUUAGGGUUUGGUGCGAAUGAGAGUUAUUUAUAUCCAUCUGCUUUUGAUCUGGGAUGUCCAUCGCGUUUGAUCUGGACUGUCCGAUCGCGAUUAAAUAAGGAGUGAAUCUAGACCGUUCAUCACGAUCCAAUUUGGACCGUCCAUCGCGAUCUAAUCUGG